rnacentral:rRNA from 1 species
CAUGUCUUUUUGAUUAUAAUUUAAGGUUUAAUCUGCUCAAUGAUUAUUUAAAUUGCCGCAGUAUUUUGACUGUGCAAAGGUAGCAUAAUAAUUAGUUUCUUUAUUGGGAACUGGAAUGAAUGAUUGGACGAGAAAAUUUCUGUCUCUUUAUUAUUUUAAUUGAAUUUUACUUUUAAGUUAAAAGGCUUAAAUUUUAUUAGAGGACGAGAAGACCCUAUAGAGUUUAAUUUUUAUUUAAAUAAUUAUUUUUAGUAUUUAUAUAUAUUAUUUAAAUAAAAAUUUAGUUGGGGUGACUAAAAGAUAAGAAUAACUCUUUUAAUUUUUAUCAAUUAUUUUUGAUUAUAAAAUCUUUAUUUUUAAUUUUAAAAUAAAUUACCUUAGGGAUAACAGCGUAAUUCUUUUUUAAAGUUCUUAUUAAAAGAAGAGUUUGCGACCUCGAUGUUGGAUUAAAAUUAAUUUUAGGUGUAGAAGCUUGAAAAUUAAGUCUGUUCGACUUUUAAAAUUUUACAUGAUCUGAGUUUAAACCGGUGUGAGCCAGGUUGGUUUCUAUCCUUAAUUAUAUAUUAUACU